UAUUUAUUUAGAUGUAAAAAAUUAGUCCCUGUUCCUCCAAUAGCUCCUAUUUCAUAUAGAAUUUUAUUAAAACGUUCGCCAUCUCGCCACAAUUUAUACAUAAGCCCGACGCGAGUUUACCGACAUAACGUAACCGGACACCGUAACGAGGGUUCUCAAAGGAGGAUUCGUCGUGGCAUCCGUGGACCCAAACUCCACGCGGACUUAUUCGUACCGUGCUACGACAUCAAAUCCCGUCACGCAAAGGAGCAUGCUUUCAUGUAGGGGCAAAGAAUUUCAUUCUACGCGCGUUCCCCGACGAGGAGCGGAGCCCGCGGUUUCUCCUACCUGUCGGAGCAUGAAAUGCAUCUCUCUCCCCUCCUCCUCACCGCGGAACCGACGCUGAAUCACAAGCAGGAGCAGAGAAGGGAAAAAAGAAUGAUGUAUGUAGAGAGAGGGUACGUGUGAGAGAGAGAGAGAGAGAGAGAGAGAGAGGCUGAAAAGAAAAAAAGGACGACGGGAAAAGACGGAAGGGAGAGGAAGAAAAGAAGGUAGGUGACUCAUCGACCGCGUUCGCGUGUGGGAAGUCGGUAGGGAUAGUCAGGUGCAAAGUCAACGGACCCGAGAACCCGGUCCUGGCUUUGCCCGCUCGACGAGAGGUGAACGAUGGCACCGCGUAUAUUGCUAUCCGGUUUCCCCGCCGAUUUGUAUGAAAAACGAGAAACCGGAACGCGACGCGCAACUGGUUCCGAAUAAAAGCCGACCGAAUUAUAAAUUCAUGUACACGAGAGACGAGUCAAAAUAUCGUGAAAUGUUGGAGCGUAGAAACAUUUGGCACGACCUUAAAAUUUGGAAAUCCCCUAUUGAACGCGAUUAUAAAAAAAUUAAUGAUAAUCGUCUUUUUGAUAGCUUAAAUCCGUGGAAAAGAAAAAAAAAAAAAAAAACGAAAAAAAAAAAAAAAAAAAAAAAAAAAAACGACAGUUAA